GGUAGAGUGGCUGAAAUGAAAGUGUGGGGCUGUAAACCCCAACAUGGAGCGAGUCUCCCUCUGCCAAUGA
rnacentral:tRNA from 1 species